rnacentral:rRNA from 1 species
GCAAGUCGUGCGGGGAUCUUUCGGUAGCAAUAUUGAAAGCUUUCAGCGGCGAACGGGUGCGUAACACGUGGGCAACAUGCCGGAAAGUGGGGGAUAGCCCGCCGAAAGGCGGAUUAAUACCGCAUGUGGCCGCUUCGCGAUUGCGGGGCGGCCAAAGCUGGGGAUCUUCGGACCUGGCGCUUUCCGAUUGGCCCGCGGCCUAUCAGUUUGUUGGUGAGGUAACGGCUCACCAAGACUACGACGGGUAGCUGGUCUGAGAGGAUGAUC